UAUCAUUAACUGAAUCCAUAGGUUAAUGAGGCGAACCGGGGGAACUGAAACAUCUAAGUACCCCGAGGAAAAGAAAUCAACCGAGAUUCCCCCAGUAGCGGCGAGCGAACGGGGAGGAGCCCAGAGCCUGAAUCAGCAUGUGUGUUAGUGGAAGCGUCUGGAAAGGCGCGCGAUACAGGGUGACAGCCCCGUACACAAAAGCGCAUGUGCUGUGAGCUCGAUGAGUAGGGCGGGACACGUGGUAUCCUGUCUGAAUAUGGGGGGACCAUCCUCCAAGGCUAAAUACUCCUGACUGACCGAUAGUGAACCAGUACCGUGAGGGAAAGGCGAAAAGAACCCCGGCGAGGGGAGUGAAAAAGAACCUGAAACCGUGUACGUACAAGCAGUGGGAGCCCCACCACCAAAGCAUUCUCUGGUGUUGAAGGCC
rnacentral:rRNA from 1 species